AGAAGGGGUAAAUUUUCACUUUUUCGUGCCAACGAAAAUAUUUUUCAAACCGUUAGUUUGAAAACGGUGUUCGAAAACGUGCGUUCUGUUUUUCUUUUUUUUUCUCUCUCGCGAAAAGGGAUUUAUAUUUCUAGUAAAAAUUUGUUCUCUUGCUGGUUGAAGAAGAUUGUUGAACAGUUAUGUUUCAGGAGGAGCCCUAACCACUAAAAGGAGUCACCCAAAGAGACGUUGUGGGAAUAUUAAACUUGGAAGAUCAAGUGGAAGGCCCUUUGAAAUUUAGAUGACACCCCAUUACGAAACGCCAUUCGUAUUCUUGCCGACGCUCCUCGGCCAUAAUGAAGAAUAUUCGGCGCAAGGACACCCACACACACCGUCAUUAUUCAACUGUUCAUGGACGUUCAGUUCGACAUAAACAGGAUGUGUGACAUGCAACAUUUGAAGGACAUUUGCCCCGGGGAGAAAUCAUCUAAAAAUAUUUCAUUUAUAAACUUUCAUAUUAUAAAAUAUUUUGAAAGUGAAAAAAAAAAUUAUUUUCGCUUUUUUAAUUUAUAUAAUUAACAAUAAUUUUUACUAA